rnacentral:rRNA from 1 species
CAGUAGCCACGGUAAUACGUAGGUGGCAAGCGUUGUCCGGAAUUAUUGGGCGUAAAGGGCUCGCAGGCGGUUUCUUAAGUCUGAUGUGAAAGCCCCCGGCUCAACCGGGGAGGGUCAUUGGAAACUGGGAAACUUGAGUGCAGAAGAGGAGAGUGGAAUUCCACGUGUAGCGGUGAAAUGCGUAGAGAUGUGGAGGAACACCAGUGGCGAAGGCGACUCUCUGGUCUGUAACUGACGCUGAGGAGCGAAAGCGUGGGGAGCGAACAGGAUUAGAGACCCCCGUAGUCCCUGUCUCUUAUAC